AUUGAACGCUGGCGGCAGGCCUAACACAUGCAAGUCGAACGAGUGGCGGACGGGUGAGUAAUGUCUGGGAAACUGCCUGAUGGAGGGGGAUAACUACUGGAAACGGUAGCUAAUACCGCAUACCAUCGGAUGUGCCCAGAUGGGAUUCGCUAGUAGGUGGGGUAACGGCUCACCUAGGCGACGAUCACUAGCUGGUCUGAGAGGAUGACCAGCCACACUGGACUGGAGAAACGGUCCGAGCUCCUACGGGAGGCAGCAGUGGGGAAUAUUGCAAAAGGGCCGAAAGCCUGAUGCAGCAAUGCCGCGUGUAUGAAGAAGGCCUUCGGGUUGUAAAGUAUUUUCAGCGGGGAGGCGUUACCCGCAGAAGAAGCACCGGCUAACUCCGUGCCAGCAGCCGCGGUAAUUC
rnacentral:rRNA from 1 species